rnacentral:rRNA from 1 species
GGGUUGUGAGGUUAAGCGACUAAGCGUACACGGUGGAUGCCCUGGCAGUCAGAGGCGAUGAAGGACGUGCUAAUCUGCGAUAAGCGUCGGUAAGGUGAUAUGAACCGUUAUAACCGGCGAUUUCCGAAUGGGGAAACCCAGUGUGUUUCGACACACUAUCAUUAACUGAAUCCAUAGGUUAAUGAGGCGAACCGGGGGAACUGAAACAUCUAAGUACCCCGAGGAAAAGAAAUCAACCGAGAUUCCCCCAGUAGCGGCGAGCGAACGGGGAGGAGCCCAGAGCCUGAAUCAGUGUGUGUGUUAGUGGAAGCGUCUGGAAAGGCGCGCGAUACAGGGUGACAGCCCCGUACACAAAAAUGCACAUGCUGUGAGCUCGAUGAGUAGGGCGGGACACGUGGUAUCCUGUCUGAAUAUGGGGGGACCAUCCUCCAAGGCUAAAUACUCCUGACUGACCGAUAGUGAACCAGUACCGUGAGGGAAAGGCGAAAAGAACCCCGGCGAGGGGAGUGAAAAAGAACCUGAAACCGUGUACGUACAAGCAGUGGGAGCACGCUUAGGCGUGUGACUGCGUACCUUUUGUAUAAUGGGUCAGCGACUUAUAUUCUGUAGCAAGGUUAACCGAAUAGGGGAGCCGAAGGGAAACCGAGUCUUAACUGGGCGUUAAGUUGCAGGGUAUAGACCCGAAACCCGGUGAUCUAGCCAUGGGCAGGUUGAAGGUUGGGUAACACUAACUGGAGGACCGAACCGACUAAUGUUGAAAAAUUAGCGGAUGACUUGUGGCUGGGGGUGAAAGGCCAAUCAAACCGGGAGAUAGCUGGUUCUCCCCGAAAGCUAUUUAGGUAGCGCCUCGUGAAUUCAUCUCCGGGGGUAGAGCACUGUUUCGGCAAGGGGGUCAUCCCGACUUACCAACCCGAUGCAAACUGCGAAUACCGGAGAAUGUUAUCACGGGAGACACACGGCGGGUGCUAACGUCCGUCGUGAAGAGGGAAACAACCCAGACCGCCAGCUAAGGUCCCAAAGUCAUGGUUAAGUGGGAAACGAUGUGGGAAGGCCCAGACAGCCAGGAUGUUGGCUUAGAAGCAGCCAUCAUUUAAAGAAAGCGUAAUAGCUCACUGGUCGAGUCGGCCUGCGCGGAAGAUGUAACGGGGCUAAACCAUGCACCGAAGCUGCGGCAGCGACGCUUAUGCGUUGUUGGGUAGGGGAGCGUUCUGUAAGCCUGUGAAGGUGUGCUGUGAGGCAUGCUGGAGGUAUCAGAAGUGCGAAUGCUGACAUAAGUAACGAUAAAGCGGGUGAAAAGCCCGCUCGCCGGAAGACCAAGGGUUCCUGUCCAACGUUAAUCGGGGCAGGGUGAGUCGACCCCUAAGGCGAGGCCGAAAGGCGUAGUCGAUGGGAAACAGGUUAAUAUUCCUGUACUUGGUGUUACUGCGAAGGGGGGACGGAGAAGGCUAUGUUGGCCGGGCGACGGUUGUCCCGGUUUAAGCGUGUAGGCUGGUUUUCCAGGCAAAUCCGGAAAAUCAAGGCUGAGGCGUGAUGACGAGGCACUACGGUGCUGAAGCAACAAAUGCCCUGCUUCCAGGAAAAGCCUCUAAGCAUCAGGUAACAUCAAAUCGUACCCCAAACCGACACAGGUGGUCAGGUAGAGAAUACCAAGGCGCUUGAGAGAACUCGGGUGAAGGAACUAGGCAAAAUGGUGCCGUAACUUCGGGAGAAGGCACGCUGAUAUGUAGGUGAAGCGACUUGCUCGUGGAGCUGAAAUCAGUCGAAGAUACCAGCUGGCUGCAACUGUUUAUUAAAAACACAGCACUGUGCAAACACGAAAGUGGACGUAUACGGUGUGACGCCUGCCCGGUGCCGGAAGGUUAAUUGAUGGGGUCAGCGCAAGCGAAGCUCUUGAUCGAAGCCCCGGUAAACGGCGGCCGUAACUAUAACGGUCCUAAGGUAGCGAAAUUCCUUGUCGGGUAAGUUCCGACCUGCACGAAUGGCGUAAUGAUGGCCAGGCUGUCUCCACCCGAGACUCAGUGAAAUUGAACUCGCUGUGAAGAUGCAGUGUACCCGCGGCAAGACGGAAAGACCCCGUGAACCUUUACUAUAGCUUGACACUGAACAUUGAGCCUUGAUGUGUAGGAUAGGUGGGAGGCUUUGAAGUGUGGACGCCAGUCUGCAUGGAGCCGACCUUGAAAUACCACCCUUUAAUGUUUGAUGUUCUAACGUUGACCCGUAAUCCGGGUUGCGGACAGUGUCUGGUGGGUAGUUUGACUGGGGCGGUCUCCUCCUAAAGAGUAACGGAGGAGCACGAAGGUUGGCUAAUCCUGGUCGGACAUCAGGAGGUUAGUGCAAUGGCAUAAGCCAGCUUGACUGCGAGCGUGACGGCGCGAGCAGGUGCGAAAGCAGGUCAUAGUGAUCCGGUGGUUCUGAAUGGAAGGGCCAUCGCUCAACGGAUAAAAGGUACUCCGGGGAUAACAGGCUGAUACCGCCCAAGAGUUCAUAUCGACGGCGGUGUUUGGCACCUCGAUGUCGGCUCAUCACAUCCUGGGGCUGAAGUAGGUCCCAAGGGUAUGGCUGUUCGCCAUUUAAAGUGGUACGCGAGCUGGGUUUAGAACGUCGUGAGACAGUUCGGUCCCUAUCUGCCGUGGGCGCUGGAGAACUGAGGGGGGCUGCUCCUAGUACGAGAGGACCGGAGUGGACGCAUCACUGGUGUUCGGGUUGUCAUGCCAAUGGCACUGCCCGGUAGCUAAAUGCGGAAGAGAUAAGUGCUGAAAGCAUCUAAGCACGAAACUUGCCCCGAGAUGAGUUCUCCCUGACUCCUUGAGAGUCCUGAAGGAACGUUGAAGACGACGACGUUGAUAGGCCGGGUGUGUAAGCGCAGCGAUGCGUUGAGCUAACCGGUACUAAUGAACCGUGAGGCUUAACCUUACAACGCCGAAG